rnacentral:rRNA from 1 species
AUUGAACGCUGGCGGCAUGCUUUACACAUGCAAGUCGAACGGUAACAGGGUGCUUGCACCGCUGACGAGUGGCGAACGGGUGAGUAAUGCGUCGGAACGUGCCGAGUAGUGGGGGAUAACGCAGCGAAAGUUGUGCUAAUGCCGCAUACGUACUGAGGUAGAAAGUGGGGGACCUUCGGGCCUCACGCUAUUCGAGCGGCCGACGUCUGAUUAGCUAGUAGGUGAGGUAAAGGCUCACCUAGGCGACGAUCAGUAGCGGGUCUGAGAGGAUGAUCCGCCACACUGGGACUGGGACACGGCCCAGACUCCUACGGGAGGCAGCAGUGGGGAAUUUUGGACAAUGGGCGAAAGCCUGAUCCAGCCAUGCCGCGUGUCUGAAGAAGGCCUUCGGGUUGUAAAGGACUUUUGUCAGGGAGGAAAUCCCUAGUGCUAAUAACACUGGGGGAUGACAGUACCUGAAGAAUAAGCACCGGCUAUCUACGUGCCAGCAGCCGCCGUAA